rnacentral:rRNA from 1 species
GACGAACCGAGCGAACGUUGUUCGGAAUCACUGGGCUUAAAGGGCGCGUAGGCGGGCUGUCAAGUCUGGGGUGAAAUCCCGCGGCUCAACCGUGGAACUGCCUCAGAUACUGACGGUCUCGAGGGGGGUAGGGGCGAGCGGAACUGUGAGUGGAGCGGUGAAAUGCGUUGAUAUUCACAGGAACUCCGGUGGCGAAGGCGGCUCGCUGGAUCUCUUCUGACGCUGAGGCGCGAAAGCUAGGGGAGCAAACGGG